rnacentral:rRNA from 1 species
AGGACGAACGCUGGCGGCGUGCUUAACACAUGCAAGUCGAGGGCAUGCAGCAAUGCAUGACCGGCGAACGGGUGCGUAACACGUGAGCGACCUUCCGUCUUCUGGGGGAUAGCCGGCCCAACGGCCGGGUAAUACCGCAUACGCUCUUUGAGCCGCAUGGCUUGGGGAGGAAACUUCCGGGGGAGGACGAGGGGCUCGCGGCCUAUCAGCUAGGUUGGGGGGUAACGCCUCCCAAGGCGACGACGGGUAGC